rnacentral:rRNA from 1 species
GAUGAACGCUGGCGGCGUGCCUAAUACAUGCAAGUCGAGCGAACAGACGAGGAGCUUGCUCCUCUGACGUUAGCGGCGGACGGGUGAGUAACACGUGGUUAACCUACCUAUAAGACUGGGAUAACUUCGGGAAACCGGAGCUAAUACCGGAUAAUAUAUUGAACCGCAUGGUUCAAUAGUGAAAGACGGUUUUGCUGUCACUUAUAGAUGGAUCCGCGCCGCAUUAGCUAGUUGGUAAGGUAACGGCUUACCAAGGCAACGAUGCGUAGCCGACCUGAGAGGGUGAUCGGCCACACUGGAACUGAGACACGGUCCAGACUCCUACGGGAGGCAGCAGUAGGGAAUCUUCCGCAAUGGGCGAAAGCUUGACGGAGCAACGCCGCGUGAGUGAUGAAGGGCUUCGGAUCGUAAAACUCUGUUAUUAGGGAAGAACAAAUGUGUAAGUAACUAUGCACGUCUUGACGGUACCUAAUCAGAAAGCCACGGCUAACUACGUGC